CGACUUAUGGAGUAAAUAGAUAUUCCAACCGAAACAUGCCAAUCGCCCGUAAGAGCUAAUCCACCUGAUAACACACCAGUAUCACCCGUAAGAUCUAAUCCACCUGAUAACACACCAGAUGCUUAUAAGAGCUAAUCCAUCCGAUAACACGCCAAUUGCUCCGAAAAGCUAGUCCAACCGAAAACACGCCAAAAAAUAGAGUAUAACACAAGAUUUCGCAACAAAUGCUUAACCUCAGCCAACUCAAGAAAAAUGUAUAUAUAUCAC
rnacentral:lncRNA from 1 species